ensembl:lncRNA
CCACCCACCCCCCCGCGUGCAGGCCCGCGUCCCCGUUUCGCCGGCCCAUCCCGGGUCCCCGACAGGCUUCUCCGCCAGGUGUGCGCCGGCGCCCGGGAGACCUUGCCGUGCAGCGUACUCGCAGCCCCGCCCGCGGUGCCCAGUCUGGGGGAGCCGCGCUAACCCCCGCCCCGCCGCCAGGAACCCCUCCCCGGGGCCACGCUCGAGCUAUCCGGCGCUGCGUCUGCGCUGGGGACGGCUCCGCCCAGUUCUGCAGCCAGGGGUCCGGCGUUCUGGCCAGACCAGUGGUCCGAAUGUGAGAAGACUUAGGGCUCCGCCGCUCUCUCGGGCUGUUCCCCGAAGUGGUUCUGGGAGCCUAGAGGCAUAGGGGCUUAAGGAAGGAAGGGACAGGGCCAGGGAGGGCGGGAGCGAGAAGGAGGAGAGGGCAGGUCAGCGGAACUGGGAUGGGGCGCAGCCCAGCGGCGGGCACGGCCGGAGGAGAGAGAGGGCGCUGUCUUCCUGGCAAAGGAUCCCUGGCUUGGCCGGCAGGAACCGAAACAAAAAAAAAAGAAGAAGAAGAAGAAAGAAAGAAAGCACAGGAAAGGAAAUCUGCCUGGUCGACCCGGGGCGGAGGAGGGUGGGGGGUGAGGGACGCACUGUGGGGAGGGCCAAGGGUGGCCGAGCGGAUUCUCAGCCCACAGCCCAGCAACCGCUUCUUCUGCUGCGGCCUUGCUAGCGCCGCGUGGCCCCGAGCGAGACUCUUCUUUGGCCCUAAAGGGCCCCCCACAGUUGGCUUCCCUCCCUCGCUUUCUCCUCUGGAAAACUGGAGGCGUCGGUAUAAGGUCUGCGACGCUUCACUGGCGAUUGAGGUGCCGCGACGUGGCCAAGGAGCCCGCGGAAGAAAACCGCAACGCCAACCAGGCCUUCACGUCGAAGCGCCGCAGCAAAUGGCCUCACCUGGUUUGGCUGCGUCUUGCCGAGGAACAAGGAGGAGGUGGAAGGCCCUCUUUCUUUCAUCGACUGACCUGGGCGCACACUCUGGAAACCAAAGGGUCCCAAGGACAAUUACUGUCAGACAUUCCCCCACUCAAAUCCAGGAAACUUAGUUUACACUACUUCAGGAGAAAUGCCUGUAUCAUCUACAAAGGAUGUGUUGUCUUUCCAUGCGCAUAACAAACCAGUUGAAGCAAAACAAAGGAUCUCAAACUUACGUAUCUUCAGUCUUGAAAGGUCCCUCUGUGUUAAUGGAUGUAAUUAAAGGCCUUCUAGGUUUGCUGAUAGAUACUAGAACCGAUCAUCUCACAUGUCCGCCAUCGGAGAGUCCCAAGCUCCAGUCUCCACGUGAAUUUCCGGACUCUUCCAUAGCCCUUCCGGUAGAAUCCAGGUGGCCCCAUAGUUCUGCCUUUAGCAGGAGAGCUAUUUCCUAGGAGUAACUGGGUGGGCUGCAAUCCGCCUGCCUCUUCACGUUGAGAAACGCUUCUCUUGUGGGAACGUCUGUUUCUAUUCAUCCGAUUUUCUAAUGUCUUUGAUCAGCCUAAAUAUUUUCUUGGCAAACGGAAAUUGACCAUGCCAUGAAUAUGAUAACAACCUGCUUGGAAAGAAGCUAUUUUGUUUCGAAGCAGCAAGGGGGAGUGGGGGGCCGGGAAGCCAGGGAAGGGAGUAGGGGUCGGGUAACUAGCUGGCUGGUAAGAAUGCCUGAAAUAGAUUCCUGAACAUACAUCUUUUUGCAGUCUCUGAAGCAGCUUUUUGAAAGAUAGUCAGAUAAACACACACCUGGGCUCCUAAAAGUCUUUGAUACACUUUAUAUUUAAAAAAACAGAACUUCAAUGGACGCCUCUGGAGAAUUUCCCUUUAAAACAUAGAUGAAAGGCAAGGUUAAUACAAUGUUCUCUUAAUCCCUUUGGCUUGUGAGUCAAAAUAAAUAUUUUCUUCUGCAUGUUAUUGUACAUCCUGCCAUUUGGCUGUGGCUAUAAGCAAAUCGACCGGUAAUAAAAGUGUUUUGAGGCUGUGUAUUAAAUGCAGUUCUCUUGAAAUCAAGGGUUGGGGGGAGGGAGGGGCCUUACUUCACAGGCAAGAGUUGGUGGGUUUCUGAAAAAGCUGCAAGAAAAAGACCUUUCACCUCUCAUUAGUGAUGCCAUCAGUGCUCAGGCAGAGUGGAGCUGAGGUCAUGUUACAUAUGGCACACAGUCUGCUCAGCACUUGAAACGUCAGCUUUGAAAUUUUAGAGAGGGGAAAGGUCAUCUUUAAUAAGCUAAAGUCUGGGGCUCCCAUUGCCCUCUUUGCAAACUGGGUGGGUGUCCAUAUGCUUCAAACCUUCUGCACAAGUUUUCUUUUUUUUAAUUUGCAGUUUUAAGCUGAUUUUUUGUUUCACAUCUUCAUUUAAGCUGUAAUGUUUUCAGCUGUUAAUACACCAAAAGGCCUUUCAUUUUUAUAGCAACUCUGUCAUCUUUCCUUUUCUUCUUAUGCAAUCAUAAAACUGUCUGUUCUGAGUGAUAGCUUUUUAGAACUCAGCUUCCCAGAAGAAAUGAAGUGUAUCUGUCCAUCUGCAUACAUGGAUCCAGACAUGUGGGCUAUAGGGUUACCCUUCUGAGUGGGUAAUUUAGACUUCACUUUUGUACACUACAUAAUUUACUGAACCUUCAAAACAUUAAAACUUCCAUAUUGUGUAAAAGCUCUAGUUUCUGAAAACUUCCUGGUACUACUAAAAUUUUUCAUGCCAUUUACUGAAAUUUCACAUUUUAUUUUUACCAUGUGGGGGAAACUCUCAAAUCAGAAGAUAUUGAUUCUUCUGUAAGGUUUAAAGUUAAGGUUGACAGAAGCUACAGUGGUAGAUAU